rnacentral:rRNA from 1 species
UUGACCUCGAAUCAGGUAGGGAUACCCGCUGAACUUAAGCAUAUCAAUAAGCGGAGGAAAAGAAACCAACCGGGAUUACCCUAGUAACGGCGAGUGAAGCGGUAACAGCUCAAAUUUGAAAUCUGGCUCCCUGCGGAGUCCGAGUUGUAAUUUGUAGAAGAUGCUUUGGGUGCUCGGCCCGGUCUAAGUUCCUUGGAACAGGACGUCGUAGAGGGUGAGAAUCCCGUAUGCGGCCGGGGUGGGUGCUCGUGUAAAGCUCUUUCGACGAGUCGAGUUGUUUGGGAAUGCAGCUCAAAAUGGGUGGUAAAUUUCAUCUAAAGCUAAAUAUGGGCCAGAGACCGAUAGCGCACAAGUAGAGUGAUCGAAAGAUGAAAAGCACUUUGGAAAGAGAGUUAAAC